GAAGUGCGAUAAGCAGUGCGAAUUGCAGAACCGUGAGUCAUCAGAUUUUUGAACGCAACUGGCGCCGACUGGCUCUCCGGUCGGCAUGCUUGUUUCAGUGUCUUUUUAUCUCAUCACCAAUAUCUUAAUGCUGGAGAUACCCUUCUCUGGUUAAGUACGAAAGCAUACUGACGUCUGCAGGUGAUCUCAGCUAGUCUGAGGGUCACACUCAAUGCAGCAGUCACAUUGAUAACAGUGUGAACUCAUUGUGAGUAGACUCAGAGCAGAUUUAUCUGCACAAUGCUUAGACACACUAAACUUAUCUUGUAUCUGAAAUCAAGCAGGACCACCCGCUGAACUUAA
rnacentral:misc_RNA from 1 species